UCUCCCAUAACUUAGUUAGGAGAGCGCCACCUUGACAGGGUGGAGGUCGCUGGUUCGAGGCCAGUCGAGAUCA
rnacentral:tRNA from 1 species